UACGUAGGGUGCGAGCGUUAAUCGGAAUUACUGGGCGUAAAGCGUGCGCAGGCGGUUUUAUAAGCCAGAUGUGAAAGCCCCGGGCUCAACCUGGGAAUGGCAUUUGGGACUGUAAGGCUGGAGUAUGGCAGAGGAGACUAGAAUUCCGUGGUGUAGCAGUGAAAUGCGUAGAUAUCAGGAGGAAUACCGAUGGCGAAGGCAGGUCUCUGGGCCAAUACUGACGCUCAUGCACGAAAGCGUGGG
rnacentral:rRNA from 1 species